UACGUAGGGUGCGAGCGUUACUCGGAAUUACUGGGCGUAAAGCGUGCGCAGGCGGCUUUGUAAGCCCGAUGUGAAAUCCCCGGGCUUAACCUGGGAAUGGCAUUUGGGACUGCAAAGCUUGAGUGCGGCAGAGGGGACUGGAAUUCCUGGUGUAGCAGUGAAAUGCGUAGAGAUCAGGAGGAAUACCGAUGGCGAAGGCAGGUCCCUGGGCUGACACUGACGCUCAUGCACGAAAGCGUGGGGAGCAAACAGG
rnacentral:rRNA from 1 species